CCAAGCCCAGGCACCCGAGGCCCGAGGUGCCAGCCGUAGAGGAGAGAACCCAACGCAAUUCCAUAUGUUCAAGAGGCAGAUCCAGGGAGACACUGUGCAGUAGGAGAGAAAUAUGAGAACCCCAAUCUCAGGAUUCAAGGUCUGGGGAUCACUGAAGGAAAGGCUCUGUAAACUCCUGUUCGUUUCUUCCCUGCACAGCUGCAAGAUCACAAGACAGAGACGCAUAACCUGCAAACCAAGUUUUCCCAGAC